UACAGAGGGUGCAAGCGUUAUUCGGAUUCACUGGGCGUAAAGGGUGCGCAGGCGGUUGGGUGUGUCAGAUGUGAAAUCCCGAGGCUCAACCUCGGAACUGCGUCUGAAACUACUCGACUAGAGUACUGGAGAGGGUAACGGAAUUCACGGUGUAGCAGUGAAAUGCGUAGAUAUCGUGAGGAACACCAGAGGCGAAGGCGGUUACCUGGACAGUUACUGACGCUCAGGCACGAAAGCAUGGGGAGCAAAAGGG
rnacentral:rRNA from 1 species